rnacentral:rRNA from 1 species
UACGUAGGGGGCUAGCGUUGUCCGGAUUUAUUGGGCGUAAAGGGCGCGUAGGUGGCCUUCUUAGUCAGACGUGAAAUCCCCCAGGCUUAACCUGGGAACUGCGUCCGAUACUGGAAGGCUUGAAUCCGGGGAGAGGGAUGUGGAAUUCCAGGUGUAGCGGUGAAAUGCGUAGAUAUCUGGAGGAACACCGGUGGCGAAGGCGACAUCCUGG